GAUCAAAUACUUUUUUCCCUCACUGUAUGAAGAGGCUCGCCGUAAGCUUCCUAUGGCUGUGGUCCAAUCUGAUCUUCAGACUGAGGAGGAGGAUGACCACCCCGCAUAUAUGAAGAGAAAAGGAAGGGGCACAAAUACGCAAAUAUUCAGUGCCACUGAAAGUGAGGAUGAGGAGCCAAAAGGAAAAGUUUCCACGCAAGGGCCAGUCAAACACCUCUAAGGGUUUGCCACCUGCACCAGUUAUCAGACCUGCAGAGGACAGAAGAGACACCUGGGAAUUCUGAUAGGCCAACAAGGAUUGAGCCAAACAUUCAACAACAGCAGCAGCCAGUGUGUGAUCCAAUUCUUCGUGAGAACUUAACCUCCAUAGAAAUGAUUAAGCAACAGCAAAAGCUGAUUUUGCUGCAGCUGCAAAACCUCCAGGCGAACAGAUCAACCCUGGAUGAGGUUCCAGAUUUGACAGACCUUCGUCUUCCAAUGUCCUCGCUGGAAGACUUGAGGAGAAUUGAGGGCCAACUUUCAGAUCAAGACUUAAAAAAUAACCUGACCAUAUAUUUGGGACUGUCUGGAAAAUGUGUGGAGAAUCAUCUCAAAACUCCUUACAAAUGGCCUGGCCAUGAACAUUAAUUGGAGAGGGGCCAAUGGGAAACAGGCUUUUGAACCUCUUGCCUUAAAAAGUGUUGUUAUCGGUCGCAGUUGUAAAUGAGAACUUGUUCUCAACUGG